UCAUUUAUGCACAAUGCUUAAUUUGGUAUUCAUUGCUGGGCCAAAGCACUUACAGGAACGUAUGACAGAAUUCUCAGUCAAUAUUGGACCUGUGAAUGUGCCUGUCUCUUCCCAAGUGAAGAAUCUA